AACGAACGCUGGCGGCAUGCCUAACACAUGCAAGUCGAACGAGACCUUCGGGCCUAGUGGCGAACGGGUGCGUAACGCGUGGGAACCUGCCCUUAGGUUCGGAAUAACUCCCCGAAAGGGGUGCUAAUACCGGCUAAUGUCUUCGGACCAAAGUUUUAUAGCCUUUGGAUGGGCCCGCGUUGGCUUAGCUAGUUGGUAGGGUAAAAGCCUACAAAGGCGAGGAUCCAUAGCUGGUCAGAGAGGAUGAUCAGCAACACUGGGACUGAGACACGGCCCAGACUCCUACAGGAGGCAGCAGUGGGGGAUAUUGGACAGUGGGCGGAAGCCUGAUCCAGCAAUGCCGCGUGAGUGAUGAAGGCCUUAGGGUUGUAAAGCUCUUUUACCCGGGAUGAUAAUGACGGUACCGGGAGAAUAAGCUCCGGCUAACUCCGUG
rnacentral:rRNA from 1 species